GACAGAGGUGCCGAGCGUUAGGCGGAAUCACUGGGCUUAAAGCGUGUGUAGGCGGAUCUGUAAGUACCUUGUGAAAUCCCACGGCUCAACCGUGGAACUGCUUGGUAUACUGCGGGUCUUGAGCCACCUAGGGGCAAGUGGAACAAACGGUGGAGCGGUGAAAUGCGUAGAUAUCGUUUGGAACGCCAAUGGUGAAAACAGGCAGCUGGGAGUGUGCUGACGCUGAGACACGAAAGCCAGGGGAGCGAACGGG
rnacentral:rRNA from 1 species